GACGAACGCUGGCGGCGUGCUUAACACAUGCAAGUCGAACGGAAAGGCCCUGCUUUUGUGGGGUGCUCGAGUGGCGAACGGGUGAGUAACACGUGAGUAACCUGCCCUUGACUUUGGGAUAACUUCAGGAAACUGGGGCUAAUACCGGAUAGGAGCUCCUGCUGCAUGGUGGGGGUUGGAAAGUUUCGGCGGUUGGGGAUGGACUCGCGGCUUAUCAGCUUGUUGGUGGGGUAGUGGUUUACCACGGCUUUGACGGGUAGCCGGCCUGAGAGGGUGACCGGCGACAUUGGGACUGAGAUACGGCCCAGAAUCCUACGGGCGGCAGCAGUGGGGAAUCUUGCACAAUGGGCGGAAGCCUGAUGCAGCAACGCCGCGUGCGGGAUGCCGGCCUUCGGGUUGUAAACCGCUUUCGCCUGUGACGAAGCGUGAGUGACGGUAAUGGGUAAAGAAGCACCGGCUAACUACGUG
rnacentral:rRNA from 1 species